GCCUUCGUAGUGUAGUGGUCAGCAUGCUCGACGCGUAACCGAGAGGUCCGUGGUUCGAUUCCCGUCGAAGACG
rfam:Stegodyphus mimosarum contig88882, whole genome shotgun sequence.